rnacentral:tRNA from 1 species
UGUUCUGUGGCUUAGUUGGUUAAAGCGGCAGUCCAGCGAAUAUAGAGUCGUGGGUUCAAAUUCCACCAGAACAC